CGCAGCUGACCAUUACGCCGCGUGAGGGACGAAGGCUUCUGAGUUGUAAACCUCUUUCGGUAGGAACGAUUGUGACGGUACCUACAGAAGAAGCACCGGCCAACUAUGUGCCAGCAGCCGCGGUGAUACAUAGGGUGCAAGCGUUAUUCGGAUUUAUUGGGCGUAAAGAGCUCGUAGGCGGUUCGAUUAGUCGGGUGUGAAACCCCCAGGCUUAACCUGGGGCAGCCACCCGAAACUGUCGUGACUAGAGUUUGGUAGGGGAUCACGGAAUUCCUGGUGUAGCGGUGGAAUGCGCAGAUAUCAGGAGGAACACCAGCAGCGAAGGCGGUGAUCUGGGCCAAUACUGACGCUGAGGAGCGAAAGCGUGGGGAGCGAACAGGAUUAGAUACCCUGGUAGUCCACGCCGUAAACGGUGGGCACUAGGUGUGGGGACUUUUCAACGGUUUCCGCGCCGCAGCUAACGCAUUAAGUGCCCCGCCUGGGGAGUACGGGCGCAAGGCUAAAACUCAAAGACAUUGACGGGGGCCCGCACAAGCGGUGGAGCAUGCGGUUUAUUCCGAUUGCAACGCGAAAAAC
rnacentral:rRNA from 1 species